ACGUAGGGGGCAAGCGUUAUCCGGAAUUAUUGGGCGUAAAGAGUGCGUAGGUGGUUUUUUAAGCGUGAGGUGAAAGGCAAUAGCUUAACUAUUGUAAGCCUUGCGAACUGGAAGACUUGAGUGCAGGAGAGGAAAGUGGAAUUCCUAGUGUAGCGGUUAAAUGCGUAGAUAUGAGGAGGAACACCGGUGGCGAAGGCGAAAAACUGGACUAAAACCGCGUCGGGGGCGGCAAACUGUCUCUUACAAACAG
rnacentral:rRNA from 1 species